GACAAACGCUGGCGGCGUGCCUAACACAUGCAAGUCGAGCGGAGAUACCUGACGAGUAAUCAGAUGGUAUUUUAGCGGCGGACGGGUGAGUAACGCGUGAGCAACCUGCCCUUUACAGGGGGAUAACGCACCGAAAGGUGCACUAAUACCGCAUGAGACCACGGUACCGCAUGGUACAGAGGUCAAAGGAGCAAUCCGGUAGAGGAGGGGCUCGCGUCCGAUUAGGUAGUUGGUGGGGUAAUGGCCUACCAAGCCAACGAUCGGUAGCCGACCUGAGAGGGUGAUCGGCCACAUUGGAACUGAGAUACGGUCCAUACUCCUACGGGAGGCAGCAGUAGGGAAUUUUGCGCAAUGGGCGAAAGGCCUGACGCAGCAACACCGCGUGAGGGAUGAAGCUUCUCGGAGUGUAAACCUCUGUCAGUGGGGACGAACAAAUGACGGUACCCACAAAGGAAGCACCGGCUAACUUCGUG
rnacentral:rRNA from 1 species